AACGUACGCUGGCGGCACGCCUAACACAUGCAAGUCGAACGAAGUAGCAAUACUUAGUGGCAGACGGGUGAGUAACAUGUAGGUAUCUGCCCUUUGGACCUGGAAUAACACGAGGAAACUUGUGCUAAUACCGGAUAAGUCUUUACGGAGAAAGCUUUAUGCACCAUUGGAUGAGCCUGCACUUGAUUAGUUUGUUGGUGGGGUAAUGGCCUACCAAGACUGUGAUCAAUAGCUGAUUUGAGAGGAUGAUCAGCCACAUUGGGACUGAGACACGGCCCAAACUCCUACGGGAGGCAGCAGUGGGGAAUCUUGCACAAUGGAGGAAACUCUGAUGCAGCGAUGCCGCGUGAGUGAAGAAGGCCCUUGGGUUGUAAAGCUCUUUCGUCGGGGAAGAAAAUGACUGUACCCGAAUAAGAAGGUCCGGCUAACUUCGUG
rnacentral:rRNA from 1 species